GCAAUAACUCACGCUUGUGGCUUUUAGAGAGAGAAACAGUCACAGCUAUGGCGUCUUCUUAUACUCUCUUCUUCUUCUUCUUCUUCAUGUUCUUUUGUGAUUUUGCAAUAUCAUCACACAUCGCUUCUGCUACCGAGGAGGACGAAUAUGUGCUCACUUUAGAUCACUCUAAUUUCUCCCAAGUUGUCUCUAAACACAAAUUCAUUGUCGUUGAGUUCUAUGCUCCUUGGUGUGGUCACUGUAAGAAUCUUGCACCAGAGUAUGAAAAGGCUGCGUCUGUGUUGUCAAGCCAUGAUCCUCCAGUUGCUUUAGCAAAGGUUGAUGCCAAUGCUGAAGAAAACAAAGGACUUGCGGAACAAUUUGGGGUAAAAAGUUUCCCCACAAUCAAGAUCUUGAAAAACGGAGGAGAAGUUGUUCAAGACUACAAAGGCCCUCGUGAAGCCGAUGGUAUAGUCCAAUACUUAAACAAACAAGUUGGUCCUGCAUCCUUUGAGAUCAAAACCCCUGAAGAUGCAGCCAACCUUAUAAAUGACAAGAAGGUCGUUGUGGUAGGAAUUUUCCCCGCAUUAUCCGGGGAAGAGUUUGACAACUUCAACAUUUUAGCUGACAAGCUACGUUCGGAUUACGACUUUCGCCACACUACAAAAGCUGAACUCCUACCCCGCGGGAAAUCAUCGGUGACCACCCCAACUGUUCGGUUACUGAAGCCGUUUGAUGAACUGUUUAUCGAUUUCCAGAAAUUUGAUGUUGAUGCUUUGGAGAAGUUCGUUGAAGAUUCCAGCAUUCCUCUUGUAACACUCUUCGACCAGAGCCCAACCAACCAACCAUUCCUAGUCAAAUACUUUGAAAGUCCCAAUGCAAAGGCUAUGCUGCUUCUGGAUUUCGGUCAUGGUCAAAUUGAUGCUUAGAAGUCAAAAUACACUGAUGUUGCUGGGGUAUACAAAGGAAAGGGGUUAAGCUUUCUGUUAGGUGAUCUUAAAGAUAGUCAAGCUGCCUUGGAGUUUUUCGGUAUUAAAGAGGAUCAAACACCUGUUGUCAUUGUACAAAAAACUAAUGGUCUCAAGUUUAUCAACUUAAAUGUCGAGGUUGAUCAAAUCGCUCCUUGGUUGAAGGACUACAUGGAUGGAAAAGUAAAGCCGUUUAUAAAGUCUGAACCAAUUCCAGAAACGAACGAUGAGCCUGUGAAGGUGGUGGUUGCUAACAGCCUUGGAGACAUGGUUUUGGACUCCAAAAAAAACAUUUUACUAGAGUUCUACGCGCCGUGGUGUGGCCACUGCAAAAAACUGGCUCCAACCUUGGACGAAGUGGCCGUCUCCUUUGAAAACGACGCUAGUGUCAUGGUCGCAAAAUUCGAUGCAUCAAACAAUGACAUUCCAAGUGACACGUUUGAAGUUCAAGGUUACCCGACUUUGUACUUCAGAUCGUCGAGUGGUAAAGUGGUGCCAUAUGAAGGGAAUAGGACGAAGGAGGAUAUUAUCGACUUCAUUCAAAAGCACCGCGAGGGGGACGAGACCACAACUGAACCGGGCAAAGACGAGCUAUGAAGGGUUGGUUGUCCUGUCCUGAGUAGUUUCAUGUACCCUUUUAAGUUAAAUUUGGAUUUUGUAGUUGUAUCAGUUGUACCAACAACCACCCCCACCACCAUCAUAAGUGUAGAGGUUCUAGAAUCCACCACAACCGCGGGGGAGUUUCGUAGUGCAUGUUAUGAAUAAAUGUUUGGCUAGAAUGAAUGAAGAUAAAUAAAUUCAUAGAACUGCUAUGGCAUUGCUGAAA